CCUAAGCUCGGUGUCACGUGAUCUAGUCGGUUCAUUGGGUGUGGCCCGGGUCACGUGACUGCGGAGGGCUUGCUCCUGUGUCCUUCCUCAGGAUCCUUCACUGACCUUCGUAAAUACAUGGAAAGAUGAGAAGGUUCUGGGACAGAAAAGGGUGGAAGGAUGGACUUGUCAGAAGGAGGGGCAGAAGCAGAAGCACAAUGGGGGUAGGCGAAUAUGGGUGAAUGGGGUGUCCCGAGCCUUGUGCGGUAAGGGGUGGGGAGGCAGAGCUGAAGGGAUGAACUGGGAAGCCCUGGGAAGGCUUAAGUACUACGCGGGGUUUGGUUUAUGUACAUUUUACCAAUUACCCAGACAGUGUGGAAGGAUGAAGAUUUUCAGCUGGGACGCAUUCACCUUGCUCUGGGAGGCUCCUCUCCCUCUCCAAGUGCUUCUUUCCUAGAGCCUCCGGGGAGGAGGCGGCUUUCCCUUUCCACAUCCAAGGCAAGCUGCAUACAACGCAGAGGUGUCCAGUUCUCUGUUAGACUGGGAGUUAGGGGAUUACCAGCAUCCUCUCCUCCUCACUUGCUCACGUCUUCGGUGGAUUCUGGCUGCUUCAUUUCCCAAACAGAUGGCAAAGUGGCCCUCCUUCUGUCUCCACUGUCCUCCUUUCACUGUCCAGACACAGUCCUCAGUGACCCGCCCCCCCCCCCCCCCCCGGUGGGCUUAACUCUCCUGGCAAAGUCCAGUCUCUUGAUCAGGAACUUUGAGGAUCCAGGUCCCACAGAGGUCUUCACUGUCUCCUACCCCACAUGAUCACCUAUCUCCAUAGCCCUGCCAGGCUCUUAGCGGCCACUCUGGCUGCUUCCAAGGCUGUAGCCUGCUUCUCCCAUGCUGACUUCUCUUCCUGGGCUCAACAGCAAAGGUUCCCUCAGCAGAGAAAACCCUAGGCUUUGAGCCAUGGUGUGUCCCAGUUUCCUCUGUGUUUAAUAUUUGUGCUUCCUGCUGUUGUGGCUGCUGCAUGUGGGCAGGAACUGCUUCUGUUUUGUUUAUUGCUCUGUGUACUUCCCACCCAGCCUAGGAUCAAUAAAUAGGUGUUGAGCCAGGUAUGGUGGCUCAUGCCUAUAAUCCUA